UUGGCUCAGGAUGAACGCUAGCGGGAGGCCUAUCCCAUGCAGCCGAGCGGUAUAGAUCUUUCGGGAUCUAGAGAGCGGCGUACGGGUGCGGAACACGUGUGCAACCUGCCUUUAUCUGGGGGAUAGCCUUUCGAAAGGGAGAUUAAUACCCCAUAAUAUAUCAGAUGGCAUCAUUUGAUAUUGAAAACUCCGGUGGAUAGAGAUGGGCACGCGCAAGAUUAGAUAGUUGGUGAGGUAACGGCUCACCAAGUCUACGAUCUUUAGGGGGCCUGAGAGGGUGAUCCCCCACACUGGUACUGAGACACGGACCAGACUCCUACGGGAGGCAGCAGUGAGGAAUAUUGGACAAUGGGUGAGAGCCUGAUCCAGCCAUCCCGCGUGAAGGACGACGGCCCUAUGGGUUGUAAACUUCUUUUGUAUAGGGAUAAACCUACCCUCGUGAGGGUAGCUGAAGGUACUAUACGAAUAAGCACCGGCUAACUCCGUGCCAGCAGCCGCGGUAAUACGGAGGGUGCAAGCGUUAUCCGGAUUUAUUGGGUUUAAAGGGUCCGUAGGCGGAUGUGUAAGUCAGUGGUGAAAUCUCACAGCUUAACUGUGAAACUGCCAUUGAUACUGCAUGUCUUGAGUGUUGUUGAAGUAGCUGGAAUAAGUAGUGUAGCGGUGAAAUGCAUAGAUAUUACUUAGAACACCAAUUGCGAAGGCAGGUUACUAAGCAACAACUGACGCUGAUGGACGAAAGCGUGGGGAGCGAACAGGAUUAGAUACCCUGGUAGUCCACGCCGUAAACGAUGCUAACUCGUUUUUGGGCUUUUGGGUUCAGAGACUAAGCGAAAGUGAUAAGU
rnacentral:rRNA from 1 species